rnacentral:tRNA from 1 species
GACUCUGUGGCGCAACGGUAGCGCGUCCGACUCCAGAUCAGAAGGCUGAGUGUUCAAAUCACGUCAGGGUCA